rnacentral:hammerhead_ribozyme from 1 species
AUCCAGCUGACAAGUCCCAAAUAGGACGAAUCGGCGGGCGUCCUGGAU